rnacentral:rRNA from 1 species
AUUGAACGCUGGCGGCAUGCCUUACACAUGCAAGUCGAACGGCAGCACGGGAGCAGUCCUGGUGGCGAGUGGCGAACGGGUGAGUAAUAUAUCGGAACGUGCCCAGUAGUGGGGGAUAACUGCUCGAAAGAGCAGCUAAUACCGCAUACGACCUGAGGGUGAAAGGGGGGGAUCGCAAGACCUCUCGCUAUUGGAGCGGCCGAUAUCAGAUUAGCUAGUUGGUGGGGUAAUGGCCUACCAAGGCAACGAUCUGUAGUUGGUCUGAGAGGACGACCAGCCACACUGGGACGGAGAAACGGCCCCGACUCCUACGGGAGGCAGCAGUGGGGAAUUUUGGACAAUGGGCGCAAGCCUGAUCCAGCAAUGCCGCGUGCAGGAAGAAGGCCUUCGGGUUGUAAACUGCUUUUGUCAGGGAAGAAAUCCUCUAGGUUAAUACCCUUGGGGGGAUGACGGUACCUGAAGAAUAAGCACCGGCUAACUACGUGCCAGCCGCCGCCGUAACAC